AUGGAAGAAGGAACUGAUGAAACUGUGAGCUCAUUGGAUGAAAAAGAUGAUGAGGAGAGCGAAGAAAAAAAGGAGGAAGAGCGGAUUAGCUACCCGUUCCCACCUUCUAAUGAGAGUAACUCUUCAACUCAUACAUUGUUUAAUGUCCCUUCGUUCUUACCGAAGGAUGAAUGCUAUGAUAAUUGCUAUGAUCCCAUUGAUUCGUUUGAAAUAUCCCUUUUUGAUGAUGCUUGCUAUGCUUGUGGCCAAGAUGCCAAUAUGAAUUAUGCUAUUGGAGAUGAACUUGCUAUUGUUCCUUAUAAACAUGAAAUUUUGCUAUUACACCCACACAUGAUAGUCAUAUUAUCUUUUUGA
rnacentral:rRNA from 1 species